rnacentral:rRNA from 1 species
CACACCGCCCGUCACACCAUGGGAGCGGGAUGUACCAGAAGUAGGUGCGCUAACCCGCAAGGGAGGCAGCCGACCACGGUAGGGUCAGCGACUGGGGUG